CACAGCACAGUGCCAGGGUAGAUUGUGUUUAUUAUGUGCGAAAAGCGCUAGCAACGAAAGGAGUAUGCCACAAAUAAACACCUCAGCAGCCCUGCUUACAGUACAGCUACAACAGCCUUGUCAUGACGAAAAAGAAUGCAGUGGCAAGGACACACAUCCUUCACGAUAUCUUGAAGUGAUGCGAAGGUUCCCGACUGUAUUGUGUAUGCCAUGGUUUGCCAACUUGACUACCCUUGUGCAUCAGCAAAAGACCAAAGAGUAUCAGCACUGUUCCAAGCCACCACAGCAGUGUCAGACGUUCACCAAACAAGGAAAUGUUACUUGUAUCCAAGGUGAAAAUUUUUGAUGUCAGGGGCGCAAGUAUAAGAAGAGUAAACAAACAUAUAUGGAACAGGAACAAGCAUCAGCACCUGAAACGAUAUGGACUUGCCUACCACAACAAUGAUGUGUCCUCAUCAGCGCUACAAUAACGACCAAAUGAUAAAACCACAGGAAAGUAAGCCAUCAUGUGCCGAUAGGAAUGUAAUUCCAUGAAAACAGAGUGCCAGUAUCGCAGCAGUCAUGGCAUACUUGUUUACGAUUUUUUUUCUCUUGAAGUCGGUGCAUACCUGUGACACCUGCAAUGCAGCAUGCCGUUUUGCAUGAAAUAAUCCGGGACUAAGAGAGCAAUUAAUGGGUUGUCACCAAAAGUGAUAGGUAUAGUGGCAGUCAAAGGUAGAGGGCAUUAGUAGAGAGUACAUGUCCAGCUCAAAAUUAUAGGUACACUAUGGCACUAGUCAUAUUCCUGCACAAGUAAAGCCCAUCAACUUGAGGCCACCUUUGAUCAGGGACGGCCAGCAUGGAGUGUGAUGGUCCCUGAAAACUUGAAACUGCUUCCCAUAUACGUAAGGACUGAUAUGAGUCUUAAACAUUAUUUUUUGCUAGUAGAGUAGUUUUCCUCCACUAAUACAAGUGUUCUGCUAGCAUACAGAAGGAGAACUAAA